rnacentral:rRNA from 1 species
ACGGAGGGUGCGAGCGUUGUCCGGAAUCACUGGGCGUAAAGGGCGCGUAGGCGGCCGAGCAAGGUCGCGGUGAAAGCCCGGGGCUCAACCCCGGGUCGGCCGUGGCAACUACUCGGCUCGAGCACUGUAGGGGCGGGUGGAAUUCCGGGUGUAGCGGUGGAAUGCGUAGAUAUUGGGAGGAACACCGGUGGCGAAGGCGGCUCUCUGGUCCGAAACUGACACUGAGAUGCGAAAGCCAGGGGAGCAAACGGGA